rnacentral:rRNA from 1 species
UACGUAGGGUGCGAGCGUUGUCCGGAAUUAUUGGGCGUAAAGAGCUCGUAGGCGGUGUGUCACGUCGGCCGUGAAAACCUGCAGCUUAACUGUGGGCGUGCGGUCGAUACGGGCAUCACUGGAGUUCGGCAGGGGAGACUGGAAUUCCUGGUGUAGCGGUGAAAUGCGCAGAUAUCAGGAGGAACACCGGUGGCGAAGGCGGGUCACUGGCCCGGUACUGACGCUGGAGGUGCGAAAGCGUGGGGAGCAAACAGG